rnacentral:rRNA from 1 species
UACAGAGGGUGCAAGCGUUAAUCGGAGUUACUGGGCGUAAAGGGCGCGUAGGCGGAUUAUUAAGUGAGAUGUGAAAUCCCUGGGCUUAACCAAGGAAGUGCGUCCGAUACUGCGUCGCUUGAGUGUCGGAGGGGGCGGCGGAAUUCCCGGUGUAGAGGUGAAAUUCGUAGAUAUCGGGAGGAACACCUGUGGCGAAGGCGGCCGCCUGGACGAUAACUGACGCUGAGACGCGAAAGCGUGGGUAGCAAACAGG